rnacentral:lncRNA from 1 species
UAAUGAAAAAACUAAAACAAACAAAAACUAGAUGGACCGAAGAGCAAUUUUGUAAAAAAAAAAAAUUGACCGACCAUCUUUAUAAUUUCCACAUAUAAGUGGAACAUUUCGUAAUUUACCUAAAAUUUCAAAGUUUGUACAUAAAUCACUCAUCUCUUUGUAAUUAAGGCUACAAAAACAUUCGAAAUUUCUCAAAUAUAUGAGAGAGACAGGAUGAGAUUGUCUGAUCAGGUAAUCUCGAUGGUUGGAUCUCUUUGUAAUUAAGGCUG